AUGAUCCUGGAGGAGAGGCCGGACGGCGCCGGCGCCGGCGAGGAGAGCCCGCGGCUGCAGGGCUGUGACGCCCUUACGCAGAUCCAGUGCGGCCAGCUGCAGAGCCGCAGGGCCCAGAUUCACCAGCAGAUUGACAAGGAGCUGCAGAUGCGGACGGGCGCUGAGAACCUCUACAGAGCCACCAGCAACAACCGAGUGAGAGAGACGGUCGCCCUGGAGCUGAGCUACGUCAACUCCAACCUGCAGCUGCUGAAGGAGGAGCUGGAGGAGCUCAGUGGUGGCGUGGACCCUGGCCGGCAUGGGAGCGAAGCUGUCACUGUCCCCAUGAUCCCCCUGGGCCUGAAGGAGACCAAGGAGCUGGACUGGUCUACACCGCUGAAGGAGCUGAUCUCAGUGCACUUCGGAGAGGACGGCGCCUCCUACGAGGCAGAAAUCGGGGAGCUGGAGGCCCUGCGGCAGGCCAUGCGGACCCCCAGCCGGAAUGAGUCGGGCCUGGAGCUGCUCACAGCCUAUUACAACCAGCUGUGCUUCCUGGAUGCGCGCUUCCUCACCCCUGCCAGGAGCCUUGGGCUCUUCUUCCACUGGUACGACUCGCUUACUGGGGUCCCGGCCCAGCAGCGUGCCCUGGCCUUCGAGAAGGGCAGCGUUCUCUUCAACAUCGGUGCCCUCCACACGCAGAUUGGGGCGCGCCAGGACCGCUCCUGCGCCGAGGGUGCCCGCCGCGCUAUGGAGGCCUUCCAGAGGGCUGCUGGGGCCUUCAGCCUCCUGAGGGAGAACUUCUCCCAUGCGCCGAGCCCAGACAUGAGCGCUGCGUCCCUCUGCGCACUGGAGCAGCUCAUGAUGGCCCAGGCCCAGGAAUGUGUGUUUGAGGGCCUCUCACCACCUGCCUCCAUGGCUCCCCAAGACUGCCUGGCCCAGCUGUGCCUGGCGCAGGAGGCCGCCCAGGUGGCAGCCGAGUACAGGCUAGUGCACCGGACCAUGGCCCAGCCACCCGUCCACGACUACGUGCCUGUCUCCUGGACUGCCCUGGUGCAUGUCAAGGCUGAGUACUUCCGCUCCCUGGCCCACUACCACGUAGCCAUGGCCCUCUGCAACGGCUCCCGUGAGUGCCCACCGCACUUGCCCAUGGUACUGCCAAGGCCCCCUCGCACAGGGCUCACAGCCUCUCUGUCCCCCAGCAGCAACCGAGGGAGAGCUCCCCACGCACGAGCAGGUCUUCCUGCAGCCCCCCACCUCCUCUAAGCCCCGAGGCCCUGUGCUGCCGCAGGAGCUGGAGGAGCGCAGGCAGCUUGGCAAGGCACACCUGAAGCGUGCCAUCCUGGGGCAGGAGGAGGCGCUGCGGCUGCACGCCCUGUGCCGCGUCCUGCGCGAGGUGGACCUGCUUCGGGCUGUGAUCUCCCAGACGCUGCAGCGCUCACUGGCCAAGUAUGCGGAGCUCGACCGUGAGGAUGACUUCUGUGAGGCUGCCGAGGCCCCGGACAUCCAGCCUAAGACCCACCAGAAGCCAGAGGCCAGGAUGCCGCGCCUGUCCCAGGGGAAGGGGCCUGACAUCUUCCAUCGGCUGGGGCCCCUGUCUGUGUUCUCAGCCAAGAACCGGUGGCGGCUGGUGGGGCCCGUCCACCUGACCCGAGGAGAGGGCGGCUUUGGCCUCACGCUUCGGGGAGACUCGCCUGUCCUCAUCGCUGCCGUCAUUCCAGGGAGCCAGGCCGCGGCGGCUGGCCUGAAGGAGGGCGACUACAUUGUGUCAGUGAAUGGGCAGCCAUGCAGGUGGUGGAGACACGCGGAGGUGGUGACGGAGCUGAAGGCUGCGGGAGAGGCGGGCGCCAGCCUGCAGGUGGUGUCGCUGCUGCCCAGCUCUAGGCUGCCCAGCUUGGGGGACCGCCGGCCUGUCCUGCUGGGCCCCAGGGGGCUUCUAAGGAGCCAGAGGGAGCAUGGUUGCAAGACCCCGGCAUCCACAGGGGCCAGUCCCCGGCCCCUCCUCAACUGGAGCCGAAAGGCCCAGCAGGGCAAGACUGGAGGCUGCCCCCAGCCCUGUGCCCCAGUGAAGCCAGCUCCGCCCUCAUCCUCGAAGCACCCAGGGUGGCCGUGAGGGCCAGGCUCCCUGCACGCCUCAGCCCUGGCUCCAGCUGGCAGCGAGCACCGAGCAUGCCCUCCCCACCCAGAGGACCUCCAGGCAAUGCCUGUCCCGCCUCAUGCUGGAGGCUGCCUCAGGCACCUGCCUACCCAUUAAAGACUGGUCAGACCUGUGUGAGCCCAGUGAUGGGAGCUGUGGCCUCUUCACCCACACACAGGAAGGAUGCCAGUCCCUCUGUCAGUCUGAGGUCAGCUUCCUGGGGCUGCCCCACCCUGAGGGCUCCUUACGGGUUGCUCCUCGCAGCCAUCCCAUCUGUACCCCCGGGCUCUGUCCACCCUGCUGCUGCCCUGGGCACAGACCCUGAGGUCUCAGUCCUGCCUCCAGCCAAGUUUCUGCCUGGUGCCUAGUGAUUCCUGCUGGGCACCCCUUCGCUCACUGCCCCUCCACCAUGCAGCAGCCAGGUACACCCACAGCACCCGCAGACCUCUAGGCCGGGUCCCAGACAUGGCCUUCCCCCAAAAUACUUCCUGCUGUCCUGUCUGUGCACAGAGCAAGGGACUCCCCACCUCUGCGCCCUGUGCUGGUCAUCCCGGGCUCUGUGCUGGUCAUCCCGGGCUCUGUGCUGGUCAACCCGGCAAGUGUCCCGUUUGCCCAGGAGUCCCUGGUGUCGUGGCCCAGGUCUCAUGGUGGCCCUAAGCCUGCCAGCCCUGCUGCCCGCCUUGCUGUCCUGCUCUGAGCAUGGGUGCCACCCUCCAGCUCCUGGGCGUGUCACCUCUCCCUGAGCCUGGAGCCUGCAUGGGCCCCCAGCCCUCCCCAGCCUGCUCGGGCCACUCCUGCUGGCCUCCACAGGCCGUGAGCUGUCAGUGUCUCAAGCAGGGGAAGUGAGGGCUGCCUCCAGGCCUCCGUGUACUGGGUGGACAAUGGCCCCCAAAGGCCGUCAGCAAGAACACCACUUCCAGGACCCCUACAGCAGUGGGCUCAGGACUUGGGCACCAAGAGGAGAGGGUGGGAAGGGCUGCAGAGUCAGGGCUGCACCCAAGAGGAGCCACGGAGCCGGAGCCGGAGCGGAGGCCCCCACCGAGGGCCCCAGGGCCUGGCAGGUUCCGGAAGGGACAGGGCCAGCGGGAGUCAUUCCCUGCAGCCACUAGGGGGCAGCCGCCACCCGCUCAGCAGCUCUGGGAGGCGGCACGGGCAGGUGCGCCUUGGGAGGGCUGAGGCAAAGACCCCGGGUAGAAAGGCGGCCCCCAGCUCUGCGAGACCCCUGCCCUCUUGUCCAGUCCCUUCCGAGGGUCCGCAGGUGAGAGCAGCCCGCCCUGCAUCCCAGGCUCUGGUUCCAGGGUCCAGGGCCCUGCGCUGCCACCUCCCUCGUGCUUCAGCCAAGAAAAUCGGGGUGCGAGUAGGGUGUUUGGGGUCCCAGAGACGCAGGCGCCGCAGUGCGAUCUUCCUGGGCAGGAGGGCAGGGCUCCCCAACCUGCCUGAGCCGGGGUGGGGGUCCAGGUCCCCCACUUGCCCUCAUGGGAAAAUCCCUGUCUCAGCAGAAUGGGCCAAGGUCACGCAGGUCUCCCCAGCACAUGUUAAUUUGGUUAAUAAAACUGCAUCAAG
rnacentral:sRNA from 1 species